rnacentral:lncRNA from 1 species
CUAAGUUCUAAAAAAGUAGGAAUAGAUAAUAAGAAAUAAUGGGCCCGACAUGUCUUCUUCUGCACAUGAACUAUGAACAAAUCGACGGACCCUCACAAAAGCUAUUGGAUAUCAUUUGCUUCCGUGCUUCCAAAAUAUUAAAACAGUGUCAAACUCAUAUCUAUGUAUGCCCACCAACAACCCAUAAAAUGAAUGACGUACCGUUGUUGGGCUUUGUCAACUACUACUUAUGCCAUUUUAAAGCUUUUGUCACCCAGCCGCUCCAAUCCUAUUUUUUGGGAAAAUUUACAUAAAACACAAUGAUAUGUUAUAAAAAAUGCUCAAGACUCAUACAAACUUCAUGUGAAAUGCAUCCAUAUUUUUGUAAACUUACGGUUUAACAGAAAGACUAAAAGACAUUACUUAUGAAGAUUGUGAAUUCAAAGAAUAAUUGAUAUUCAAACAAGAUAUAAAAGCUCCAAGUCUUGAUUGAAAGUUAAUACAUAAUAACAAAUGUAAAAAUUGCAGAAAGUAGUCUAUCAUUCACACAAUCACACAAUGAUUUAAAAAAUAAACAUAAUUAAUGAAGAUAGUGUGUUCAAAACAACUCCUAGUCGCACUAAGAAUGACUUGUCAGGGACCUAAUAGAAACCAGAAUGGCUUGUUAACAAUAAUAUGAUAUUUGAUGUCGUUUGUGGAUCUGCACUUAGACAAUAUGGGACUUCAUUCCUAUGUAUAAUUCAAGGGCACGAAGGCACCCAACGUGAGAAUCACGGGCCAUAUAGAGUGAAUUGAUCUUGACUUUCCAUCUAGAUCUUCAAUGCUAUUUCAUCCAUUUCUUUAUGAGUAUCACAAUGACUUGUUGACACCACCAAGAACAAUAUAGGGUCCCAUGGUCUUCAUUCAAGACUUAAAUCCACAAAAGUUUAAUUGUGUCACUGCUCAUUAACCACCAGAUGGUGCAUUAAGAGGACCGCGACUAGUCUAAGUUACGUGGUCUUCACUUUGACUUUGAUUCCUCAUUUCCACAAGCUUCAAGAUAUUUUGUCAUGAAUGAAACUACCCGUAUGGGGCUUCAUGGUGUUUCCUUCCUUACAUUCCUAUCAUGACUUUUUUCAAACUUUCCCACACAAGUGUAAGCCUAUUUAUACAUUCAACACACAUAUCAACUCUAAACACAUACACUUGAGUUCUCUCUACAUUCUUUUGUUUUGAAUGCCAAAUGUGCAAAGCUUUCACCGUGCAUCACUUGCGUGACUUUCCACUGGCCACUGAUACACCAAGGCUACAUUGAAUUUUUCAUCUAUAUUCUUCGUAAUUAUGUGUUCCCUUUAAUCGUGUUUUCAUUCCCUUUUUUAUUUUAACUCUUAAUGUUUUCGUGAACCUAUCAUAAUCAAAUGUCUUGAUUGACAUUUCAAACUAAAAUGACGUUAUGAGGAUUGUUUAAAAGGUCUUUUUAGUCAUAAUUGGGAACACUUUUUCUAAUUAACUAAUGUUUUGAACUAAUUCUUGACUAAAUAAGUUUGACAAUGAGAAGUGUGUGAUUUAUGAUUGAAAAUAAGUGUACAAAGGAAAUAAGUAUUCCAAAAAUGUUAUAAUUUAUAUAUAAAAGAGUGAAACAUCAAAUUUUAAAAUAGUUUACAUUUGAGCAUGGGUUAUCUAUUACUGAGAGAAGUAUUGAGAAACGAUAUGGGAACGAGUUAACAAAACUUGCAUUCCUCAAUAACCAUGUCACAAACAUGUUACAGGAUUAAACUUUUUAUAUGACUUAUUAAUUUUAAUCAUAGCUUAGUAGAUCCAGUUAGCUGAGGAUUCCUAUACCCCAACAAGGUAUAGGACAAUACAACAGUGUAGUCGAGGCAUUGUCUCAUUAAGUUGCUCAUAAUGAUUUUUGUUGGUUAGAGAAUAUAUCGUAUAUAUGGAAAUAAUAUGUUACUAUAUUUUUAUAUAUUUGAGUUGAUAUCUAAUGUUUUAAACGAUUGAUGCGUAGCACCGAGUGAACUUGAAAAUGAGAGGUGUUUCUUCAAAAAGGAAUGGAGGUUCACAUUGUUCUAUCAUGAGGCGGAAACUACAAUUUUAGUAGAACAAAGAGGGUUUCUAGUAACAAUCUUCCAGUUCCUUACCUAUGUGCCCCCAUAGGAAACAUCAAGUAGAUCAACCUAGAUUAUAUGACAAUGUAUAUAUUCUACCUUGGAAAGUAGGAUUCCCUCCUUUCUGUAUAAGGGAGUGACACCGGAUUCUAUCUUUAACUCACAUGGUUAAUAUAGUUUAUGCUGAAGUUUCCCAAAUGUAAAAUGAACAAUGGAUGCAAUAAGAUGAACACUAACUAGGACUACCUAAGAGAUGUCGCUUAAUGUAGGUAAGGGAAUGAAACUUUACCUUUACAUUUCACAAGUAGGUCCUGAUGGAAAUUCUAGGAUUAGUUCAUAUGUGUGUGUGUGUGUGUAUAUAUAUAUAUAUAUGUAUGUAUAUAUAUAUAUAUAUAUAUAUUUAUAUCUUAUGCAUGAUAUUUUAGUGUUAACACACAUGUAACAACUAAUAAGCAUGAUGUUAGUCUUACUUGAACUACAUGAUUAAUGGCUUACUUUGGAUGCAUGUUGUUGGUUAUACUUGUCAUUAUAAUGCAUGACAGGAAGGGCAAUGCAUGUGAUCUCCUUGUUGGUUUACUUGGUAGGUGUGAGUAUAUGCGGCUUCACAUAUAGAUUGCACUAAUAGACUUAGAUUAUUGUUAUAAGUAACGUCUUAAGAUGUAAUUAAUAAAUGAGUCCUUAUAUAAGGUUUAUGAUGUAUGUUGGUCUUACAUCUAUGGUUAAAUGCAUGUGUCAUAUGGUAUUAAGUGUAAUCUUCUUAGUCUACGGUUACUUCAUAAGACAACUUGCUUUAAUAGUAUUAUGGGAUGUUACUUGAACAUUGUACUAGUGUUGUAACACCCCUAAGAUGCUAGGCGAUGAUUUACAUAUCCAUUUAUUACUAUAAUAUGUUUUGUUCUCAUUUUGGGAACUUUAAAUAUUGUGAUAGUUGUAAACGUGCCUAAAAAGGUAUAAUCGUAAAUUAAGGUAUUGUAUGGGGGUAUUUAUAUAAAUUGACUAACUAGAAUUUCAAUUAAAUUGAUUGUUUUGGUAUGAAGAAAAUAUAUAUAUGAGUAUAUGUAUGCAGUUUGGGCAGCACACAAAUUUUUGGGCAACAACUUUUGGUGAUCUGUCCAUAUGAUGAGGAUAUUUUGUGUAUCUAUAUAUUUCACACAUCCUCUUAUGAAUUUUGUAUGUAUUCAAGUGUAGGAACCUUCGAACAUUAUAUAGAGAGUUGUUAUUCAAAAUCAAAAGAAAAACAAGCUCCUUUUGGGUGAAUUCGACACUCAACUUCUUUUGAUAAGUGAUGAAAAAAAUCUGUUUCUUGACAGGGUAGUCUUCUGUAUUUUAAGCUUACAGUUUCUUAUAGAACUUUGUUUUCAAUGAAUAAAUAUGAUUUAAAAAUAUAUUUCGUAGUUAUAAAACUCAAAUUCGUAUGGAAAACUCUAAUUUUUCUAUUAUGGAUUCCAAUUAUGGGAUGCAACAUAGGAAAAAUUCUGUUCAACUGUGGAAUUAGAAAUCUAUCUGUACAAGUGUUCGUGCUUAUAUUAUAUCUUUUUAUAAAAAAUGCAUUUUGAGGUUAUUAUAGAUUAGUUGAAAUAUUAAGAGAUAUUAUUACAUCUUUUAUUAAGGAUAUAUAGUCCAGUUUUGCUUUUUCCUAUUUCAAAAGUUACUCGCAACAUGAAGUACUUUGUUGGACGAAUCAUUGUUUUUGAAAUUUAGUUGUAAAUGUGAAGGCUAGGCUUACUUGUGAUGAUUAUAUGUCUUACUUCAACAUUAUUGAGAUACUAGAAAUUAAAUAAGUUAUUUAAUCAUAUUUUUAUGGUUGUAUAUGCUUGUGAAAAAAUUGAGGAUCUUCAUAUAUUUGUUUGUCUAAAAUUUGAACUCUUGUAGUCGUAUUGGACUGUUCUUGGCUAAAGAUUGAGGUUUGUGUAUAAACUUGUACUUGAACUAUAUUUAGCUGUGCGUAUAUCUGAAAUUUUUUAUUGGUACGUUGAUUACCUCUUUUCACUUUGCACUGUUGUGUUUUUGUCGUUUAGGAUGUAAAAGACUCUUGUGUAACUCGUCCACUAGUACGGAUUAUUUGAUAACUUGGAAUUUAUAUUGGAACUGUGUCCUUCUAGUGGUUUUGACCUUGUCACUAUUGGAAUUCUUCUUGAUUUGUAUAAUUUUCCAUCUUGACUGUUGAUUUUUUAGUUCAUCUCAUGCAUGGUAGUUGUCCAUUUUAAGUACGAAAUGGAAAGCCACUUUUAAUAUGGUUCUUGGUUAUCUAAUUAAUUGGGCUUUGAACCUUCUUUUUACAGGGCGUUGGCGCUUCUUGAUACCUUCUCGUGCUUUGUGUGACUACAUGAUGUAUAUAUUGGGCAAGUCUUGUUAUUGAACCUCUUGAAAAAUUGUUCUAUGAACGUUAUUGACAUUUGGAGCUUUAACUAUCCAACUUAAUACUCUUUGUAUAGUAUUUUCGCAUUUUACUUAUUAUAUGUCAAUUGUGCUACCCUUUACUUGAGAAUGAUGACUUUGUGAAUUUAAGAGCACCGGAUCUACAGCUUUAAAACCACUAAGCUUUAUGCUUGCCGAUAGUUGUUUUGUUUGUAGGGAAUGUUCGAGAGGGCGGUAGAAGUUUCUCACUGAAGAUGGAGGUUUUGAAAUCCUUAAAGGAAGAUCACAUUACAUAUAGGAAUAAGUAUAUUUUAUAUAAACCUUUGGACUUGUACAUGAUCUAUUUAUUGUAUAUCCACAUGAGAUUGUGAGGGCUUAUUUGGUCAUGUUAUCAUGGGUUGUAAUAUAAGUACAGUUAUACAUCUUUCUCUUUUGGGGUGUGUGAACCCAUGCUUGUAAAAUACAAAUUUGGUUUAUGUUUUCUAAGUUUGUGUGAAGCAUGAAUCAGGUGACUAUAAUAAUCGGAAGCUGGUAAUAUCAUUGCUAUUUCAUCCUUAAGUGUGAAGUUAAUAUAUACAUGAAAAGCUUGUCGGUUUUGCUUAACAUAUUUUGAGAGGCUUUUUCGUGAUUAGUUAAUAUUUUGUGCCAUAUAAAUUUUUUACCUAAAUUAAAUCAUUAAAAAUGAGCAAGAUGCACAUCCUUAACUAAAUUAUGUGCUAUGAAUCUUAUCCCUCAACUAGAUUAGAAAACAUUAUACCUUCAUUAAUAUCUUUUAAAUAUCACAAGUAUUAAACUAGGCUUCUAGUCAAGUUGUAGUAUCUCUCGGAAAGGGGCGCUACAAGUGUUUGUAUAGGAGCCUAGGUUUGUGGUUCUAGGAUUUUUGUUCUGAAUACUAGUAUAGUUAUUUGAUUUAGAAAAUGUUCUACUUAGAGUUCAGGCUCACUUACAUGGUUUUCCAUAUCCUUAUUACAUGUAGAGUGCACAAACAUCAUGAACUUGUCCCUAAUGCAGUAAGAUCUUAAAUUUUGAAGGAACUAAGUUAUGACCACUUCUUCUAACCGAUCUAUGGAAGCUGCUCGUGAAUGUUCUGGUGCCUCUAUUCUAAACCUCAUGCACCGGAAGGCGUUGGGGAACAUAUAUCGAGUAAACAUGUUCCCAACACUAGCGUGUCUGAAGGGGGAAACUAUCAACGUGUAAGAGCUGGUUCGCAUCCUUAUGAGUCAUGGUACACAAGCCAUGAAUCCUCCUUUACAACAAAUUGGUGUAUUCUUCGAACACAUGGUCGAAUCGAUGCAUGACCCCAAUGGGAUUAACAUUGAGAAAUGAGGAAAAUGGGUGUUGUAGUGUUUGAAGGAAUGGUUGAUCCUACUGAUGUUUAACAAUGGUUAGAUCGCAUGGAGAGGGUGUUUGAGAAGUUAGAGCGUUCUAAUGUUGCGAAAUUUAAGUAUGUGCUUUGAUUAUUACAAAAUUAUGCUUAUGAUUGGUGGGUAACUGUUCAUAAUGCCAAGCUAAAACCUUCUGUUCUUAAGUGGGAUGAUUUUCUUAAAUUUUUUUGCAUAAAGUAUGUACCACCGGCUUAUUGUGAUGCAAAGAAAAAAGAGUUUUUUAAUCUAAGGCAAAGAGGCAUGUCUAUUGCUGAAUAUGAACAAAUGUUUCUAAGGCUCUGUUGUUAUGUUGUGUGUAUUAUUAAAGAGGAAAAAGAUAAGUGCAGGAAAUUUGAAGAUGGUUUAAAUGAUUCCAUUACGAAGAAUGUGACGAUCCUUCAACAUGAUAGCUUUUUAAAGUUAGUUUCUGCUGCUUUUACUCGGGAACGACUUGAUAAAAAAGAAGUUAAUAGAAAUGAAAACAAAUUUCGAAAGCCUAGACCAGAUUUUUGAGGUCCAUCAAAAAAGGGGCAGGUUUGAUAAUUCUAAGGCUAGUAGUAAUAAUGGUCCAGCUCAACAGAAGCAAAACAUAUUAGAUUUUUCUUCAGCUACCACUCCAAAAUAUGGCCAAGGCAAGCCUCACAUUCCCACUUGUACGCAAUGUGGUGUUUUAUUUUUAAAAAUUUCUACUAACUAUUUUUUGGUUUAAAAAUGAAAAAAUUUACUAGUUUUCGAAAAAUCAAUUAAUCGUAUUGUUUAAGAAAAAUCGACUUUUCAAAAUUAUGGAGUCGCCACUUGAUUUUUGAUAAAAUCAAGAAAAAAUUUAAAAUUGUCAAAAGAUUCAAAACUGAUAAAAUCAAUUGAAAAAGGUUCGAAGUUCAAUGUACAUCCUGAGAAGGUUUUAGGCCCUUGGGAUGCCCGCUAACUCGCGGUUGACCAGCGAUUUGACUAAAUGACUAUUAAAAUAAAAAUUUUAACUAAGUAAAAAAGAAAUUUGUUUUAAUAUUUUUUAUUUCAUUAUUAUUAUUUUUAUUUAUUUGUAAAGGUUGAGGGAAAUAAUUCAAGGAAAACUAAAUUGUGAUAAAAGUAAGUAAAACAACAAUAGGAAAAUUUAAAUAAUGAAAAAUGGCUACCCCUUAGAAGAUUAUUAAAAUUCUACCAAGAUAUUAAAUAAUUCAAACAAAUAAAUAAUAGAUAAAGAAAUAUUUGAACUUGGGCUUGAUUGCCCAAAUUCUUUCAUUUGGGCUUUGGCCCACCUGUCAUAAACUAAUCCUUAUACUUGGGCCUUCUUUAAAACCUACAGAAACAAAUGACCUUUGGGCCUGUUAAAUAAAAGGGGGGCUGAAGGGCCCUGGCCCAAUUCCCUGAAAAGAGACAUAAAGUAUACAAAUGUAUACAUGCUGUAUACAGCAUAUAUCUGACCCAUUUGGACCUCUUGAGCCCUGCACCUUUUGAAUAUAUAUUUACCGUUACUUUUCCCUGUAUUACCCCGCGUAUUUAUACCUGUAUCAUUUUUUAAAAACUUACUUAACAAGUGUAUAUCGUCGCCCGAUAAUGUAUACUAAUGUAUACGGGCUGCACCCUAUGUCUGCAUUGUUUGCCUAAUUCCGAAUUUUAAUUAGAAUAGACGUCCCUCUACGUUCCCCUACCAAUCAUAUUUUUUAAGCAUAUAUAUAGUAUAUCGUCUCAGUAUAUCUUUGUAUACAGGUUGUAUAUCAACCUGUUUUUCAACUUUCGACAGCUGAAAAAUUAUUUCCAGAAGUAUGUCCUCACUGUUAUCAACCUGUAUUUCGAAUUUUGUCCCCUGUACGUUUUUUUGACCUUUAUACUGAUGUAUAAAGUAUGUAUACAGCUGCUAUACAGCUACAUCAACACCUGCCAAUACAUUUUACAGCCCUUUUCUAGGUUUUGAUGAACCUGCAGUUAAUUUCCAGCAACUCGUUUGAUAUAUUUUAGCCUGUACGCCAGUUUUGAGGGGGUCUACGACUCAAGGAUGACAGUUCAAGCCUUUACGGCUCAAUGAGAAAGUGCAACGAGAUGGGUUAAAGUCCAUGAGGACUCGAGGAGAUUUCACAUGCAAUAAAACCAAAAAAAAAUUAGCACCUUAAGCGAUAAGCUAAUAGAAUUCGUCUUAAACAAAACGGUAAUAGAAGAUGUGAGCUAUUUUAGAGAUAAUGAGUUAGGAAAGGGGUACAAAAUCUCAACACACAUCUCAUAUGCAGGCAACACAGGGGACUCCUCAUGCAUGCAGCACUAUUCAAAUGUUCAAAAGAAUAAAAUGAAAGUCAUCAUAUGUCAAGGUUCAUUAGUGAUAAACUUGAGGCUAUGUGAAUCAUUUCAAACCCAAUGACAACAACACGACAAUGAGCAAUAAAUAUACUGUAGACCAAACACUGAGGAGAAUUGAUCCCUUUAUAUCAUUCAAGCCAUUUAAUGCACAUAAAGGGAAUAUAUGCAGAAGCCAUUGAUAACAAAAAUCACGUCAAAGAAAAGGCCUACCCGUAAGACAAAGUCUAGAAUCCUCCUCCAAAAUGGUCAUAAUUCGAACACAUAAAUGUUUCUAACCCCUUAGGACAACUAAGAAUACGAUAAAGAAAAAGUCACCGACAUAUACUCGAAUAAAACUCGAUUAGAAACCUAGCUAUAACGUACUCAAGACAAGCGAAUACGGAGGUUGUCUGACAAACAAGACGAGAACUCGUCCGAGCUUACACAUUCACAACCAAAUAUGACCGAAGGAUCUAGUGUAUAUAUCAAUCUAAGCAACACAUUAUACUACCUACAAGUUCAUCCAAGCCUGAAUGAACAACUCGAGCGAGAGGGACAACAUGAACAAGCUUAAGACGAGGUAAGCGAAACAAGAGAAGACUAUACUUCAAACAUACACCUACAUUUCAGUUUCAUAACUGGCAGCAGCAACAGAACUUUAAAACGCCACCAGAAGCCAUUUUAAAACAAAAAAAAAUGAUAAAGUCGUGUCAAGCGGUAGGGGUUACCUGUUUUAGAGCAGCCAACUGGAACAACAAAUAACGCUGAGGUCUUCCACCACAACACUCAAACUCAAAAGGCGAUAUAGAGCUCCUUGUAGGUAGCGAUAGGACAGGGACGAACGUCUCAAUGGUUUCAAGAAACUAUCUCAAAACACUUAUAUACAGUGAUAUGGCUUGAAGCUUGUGGCCAUAUUCCUCUGUAACCUUUUCUCUUUACUCCCUUUUUAUCUAUAUUUUCUUUCUUUCCCUGUUUAUUUUCCUUUUUUUCUAUUUUUCCUCCUUUCUUCUUUCUCUCUCUUUUCUUCUUUCUCUCCACCAACCCCCUAACAAUAAAGAAGAUGGGGAUUAUUUAUAAGUCAAAUUAUGGCAAAAAGAGUGGGAAAUUUGUUUAGAAUUUGAAUUUUGAAUUUUGAAUUUUGAAUUUUAAAAUGGGUAAGGUUGGAGGGAAAGGGAAAAAGGGAAUUGGGUUGGAAAUUAAUUAAAACGGAAUGGGCCAUGUAAUUGGGCUUGGGUGUCUUAAAAUAAAGUGGGCCUGGAAGGGAAUGAGGUGGGCUGGAAAUUUAUUAGGCUUGGGGUUUGGGAGAAGUGUUGGGUUGCUGAAGUGGGCUGGGAGAAGAAGAAAUAAAAAUGGGCCUGGAAAUUAAAGGGAGUGUGUAAAUGGCCCAAAACUAAGAUCUUUUGGUGGAUUUUAUGAAUGGGUUAAAUUUGAUAAAUAGCCAAAUUGAGUUAAGAUAAUAAAUUCGGCUAAACCUUAAAUAAAACAAAUUUGUAUUAAUUAAUCAACGAGCUUCUUUAAUUUAGUAAUAUAAUUAUUUAAAUUAUAAAAUAGUGGUUCAAAAUAUAACCUUAAUUUAAACUAUAUUAGCUAAAUAGAAUACUUACUAAAAUUAAAAUAUUUUUGAGAUGGUUUUUUGAAUAAUCAUAAAAUAUACUAAUUAUAUACAUAAUUAUGUAAAAUAUAUAUAUAUUAUUCAAAAGUUAUAAGAAAUGACAAAACUAUUCAAAAUAACACAAACUUUAUUUUUUUUCUUAAAAAUUUAUAAAACUAAUUAUUUUAAAUUGCUUGGAAAAUUUAAGAAGCUCAUGAAUUAAUUUCUAUCGGAGAUGGUCAAAAUUGGGUGUCAACAGUUGUGCCUCAUUUUACUUGGAUUGAUGCAAGCAAUUCGAGGAAAAUGAAAUUGACCAAGCCAAUUUUUACCAACCUCAUUCAUCUUUAAGAGAAGGAUUUGGCAAAGGGUUGAGGAAUUAUGGCCGAACCCUUGAAACGGUUUCCUAUAUAUCUAUGGCUAUAUGAGAAUUCAGGCCACUUGUAUUUCGAUAAGCUUGAUUUAACGCACGAUUUUGAAAAAAUUCAAAAACCACCUCGAUACCGAAUUAUGAAGGUCUCGAAAUGCUCGAGAAUAAAAUUAGAGAGCGAAUGUUGGAAUACAGCCGAGUUUUCAACAUUUAAUCCACCUACAUAUCCUUAAACCUUCAGGAAUCAGGCUGUGUGUAGUUCGACUCGAUCGGUUGAAAAGGAAAUCUAUUAUGCUAGAUAACCUUCUGUUUCAGACAAGUGACAAAUUAAAUGAGUAUGAAAAAGAGGCUUCUAACCUCUUAGCCAUGAAUGUGACACGCUUCACACCCAUAAUUAAGAUCUUACACGGACAUAAUUUCCAAAGCUCUUGGCGCAUUGUCACUCAGAUUAAAAACUUGCUUCCGGUAAAUCGAAAUUUUUGGAUGCGAGACUGAAACUGACAAAACUAAAGAAAAACCCUCAUGCCUUAAGAUCGGGGUGUUCGAUUGUAGUGGAAGUCGCUCCUCUUCUCGCGUCCUAAGAGUUUGACAUUCCUCUUUGGACUGUGUCCCAGUUCGCUGCUAAGAAAAAGUUCCACGUUGUGCUGCAUCCUUUUUGAUGUCGUCCGCACCUGUGUUUUUUUUUUUGAGAAUUCAUCCUUUUGGAUGCUCUCGACAAAGAUUGAGAUAAAAAUCGUCAGCUUAAAAAUGCAAUUAGGAUGAGAGACAGUGUCUUUUUUACCGUGCCGACACUUCAUUGUUCUCCUCAAAUCCACGUCGACUCGAUUGGUCUGACGUCCAGCAAAUAAAGCUUAUGCCUUGUGUUUUGCAAUAAAAUCUUCAAUACUCUUCAUUUGAUGCUAAAAUAAACAAAUAGACGUUGAUGCGAUGUUGAUGUUUCUUUUGUCGUCAUCUUCGAUGCUCUUCUUGAUGUUUAUUUUUCUUUUCUUUUCUUUUCUUUUUUUCUUUUUCAAAAAUAAAGGAUGCAGUUGAGGCUGAUGGAUAAAUAUUGCUCUUGGGAUACACGAUUUCCAUUUCUUUAUCCAUGUAUAUCCUCUUGCGGGUCAUGAAUAUCUUCCCGCGAUACGUAAAUUCCUGCGAGGUAUGAAGUCCUCUCGCAAUGCAUAACUUUCAGCGAGGUAUGAAAUCUUCUCGCGAUGUGAAAAUUUCAAUGCGGCAUGGAUUCUUCUCAUGCUGCAUAAAUUUUGGCGAGGUAUGAACUCUUCUCGCGAUGUCUAAAUUUCAACGAGGUAUAAAGUCUUCCCGCGAUGUAUAAAUUUCAAAUUCGCGAUGCAUGAUUUUCAACGAGGCAUGGAUUCUUCUCGUGAUGCAUUAAAUCCAACGAGGUAUGAAGCCUUCUCGCGAUAUAUCAAUUUUGACGAGGCAUGAAAUCUUCUCGUCGUGCAUAAAUUCAAGCGAGGUAUAAAGUCUUCUCGCGAUAUAUAAAUUUGACGAGGCAAUAAAUCUUCUCGUCGUGCAUAAAUUCAACCGAGGUAUGAAGUCUUCUGGCGAUAUAUAAAUUUGGCGAGGCAUGAAGUCUUCUCGUCGAGCAUAAAUUCCAGCGAGGUAUAAAGUCUUCUCGCGAUGCUUAAAUUUUGACGAGGUAUGAAAUCUUCUCGUCGUGCAUAAUUAUUGACUCGCGAUGCAUGAUUUCCUGCAAUGCAUGAUUUUCUGCGAUGCAUGAUUUCUCGUGAUGCAUGAUUUCCGCAAUGCAUGAUUUUUCGCAAUGCAUGAUUUCCGCGAUGCAUGAUUUUUCGCAAUGCAUGAUUUUCGUGAUGCAUGAUUUUCUGCGAUGCAUGAUUUUCUGCAAUGCAUGAUUUUAUGCGAGGUAUAAAGUCUUCUCGCGAUGUCCAAAUUUGACGAGGCAUGAAAUCUUCUCGUCAUGCAUAAUUAUUGACUCGCGAUGCAUGAUUUCCGCGAUGCAUGAUUUUCCGCAAUGCAUGAUUUUCCACGAUGCAUGAUUUUUCGUGAUGCAUGAUUUCCGCGAAGCAUGAUUUUUCGCAAUUCAUGAUUUCCGCGAUGCAUGAUUUUUUGCAAUGCAUGAUUUUCGUGAUGCAUGAUUUUCCGCGAUGCAUGAUUUUCCACAAUACAUGAUUUUAUGCGAGGUAUAAAGUCUUCUCGCUAUGUCCAAAUUUGACGAGGCAUGAAAUCUUCUCGUCAUGCAUAAUUAUUGACUCGCAAUGUAUGAUUUUUAACGAGGCCUGGAUGGCUCGAUAAUGUUCCAACUGUAACGAGGUGGAUGGCUCGAUAAUGUUCCACUGUAACGAGGUGGAUGUCUCGAUAAUGUUCCAACUGUAACGAGGUGGAUGGCUCGAUAAUGUUCCAACUGUAACGAGGUGGAUGGCUCGAUAAUGUUCCAACUGUAACGAGGUGGAUGGCUCGAUAAUGUUCCAACUGUAACAAGGUGGAUGGCUCGAUAAUGUUCCACUGUAACGAGGUGGAUGUCUCGAUAAUGUUCCAACUAUAACGAGGUGGACGGCUCGAUAAUGUUCCACUGUAACGAGGUGGAUGUCUCGAUAAUGUUCCACUGUAACGAGGUGGAUGGCUCGAUAAUGUUCCAACUGUAACGAGGUGGAUGGCUCAAUAAUAGUCCAACUUUAACGAGGUGGGCGGCUCGAUAAUAUUCCUGCAAGAUAAAAAGAAACUUGUUUAGAAAUCACUUGAGGCAAUAUAAAGGAAUAGAGAUAAAUAAGGUGGAAGAUUUUCUAGGUUUUGUUGAGGAGUCCACGAUGGGUGCAAAUGAAGCCUUUUGUCAUUCUUGACAACUUUACAUAGCCAUUUUUGUGACUUCAAUAUUCCUGCAUCCAAAGAAAAAUUCUUAGUUUGAAAGACUGAUUUGUGUUGGUUUUGUCUCCAUGCUCCUUCUUGCAGUUGGCUUGCACGCUCGCCCAUUCUUUAUAUGACAUAUUUGAUGGUAUUUUUUUGAGGACCGUCCUCAAAAUUUUGUCCCGGUCUAAAAUAUAUAAGAACUCUCAUAACUUGCUCUGUUAACUCUGAGGUUGCUCAUUCUGGAAUUUUGAGGCCCCUUCUCAAAAUUUUGUCCCAGUUUAUCUCAAUAAGUAAAAAAUGACAUUUGUGGAAUUUUUGAUGAUCUCAAAAAUUCUGUCCCAGUUGCAAGCUAGAUUGUCGUAAUUUUUGAGAUCCACCCAAGGCUAAUCUCCGUAGAAUUUUGGUCUUCUGUUUUGACUUUGUUAAAAAAGUCCAACUUACAAUGAAUUUUUGAGAUCCUCUCAAAAUUAUGUCCCAGUUUCCAUUAUGAAGAGAAAUGGAAAUCUUCUGGGUAUAUGACCAAGCCGUUGUGGUGCCUACGUAUCCCGUUGGAGCAGGAAUCAGGUCAAACAUAGUUCAGACCAUAGAAUUUUGGUCUUCUGUUUUGACUCGUUAAAGAAGUCCAACUUCCAAUGCAUUUUUGAGAUCCUCUCAAAAAUUCUGUCCCAGUUUCCAUAUUGAUGAGAAAUGGAAAUCUUACUGGGCAUUGUGACCGAGCCGUUGUGGCGCCUAUGUAUCCCGUUGGAUCAGGAAUCAUGUCAAACGUAGUUUCCCUCGCAAAGGUUAACCAAAAUAGGAAGUUUUGAUAAUAAAACGACCGAGGCCGACAUAGGCCGCCUACGUAUCUCAUUCUUGAGAAUUCAGGUCGAACGUAGUUCCAACAAAGAAAAGUGUGAUACAUUUUCAAAAGAAAGGUAACAAAACUUCAUAUGCAAUGUUUGGCCAAUGUUGGGCAUUCUUCUUCUCGAAUGAAUAUCUUCAAAUGACUCUGUUCAGAAAUGUCUUGUACUUACUCUUGAGCAUCCAAUAUGUCAUCCAUUCAGGUGUUUUCCUCAAUAUUGAUCAAGUUGUUGUUGAUCAUGUUUUGUAUCUUGUGCUUCAGAUUUGAACAAUUUUCUGUGUCAUGUCCAACGGCUCCUGAGUGAUAAGCACAUCUGUGGUCAGCUCUGUAAAAUUUUCCCAGAGGAUUGGCCGGUCUUCCUUAUAUAGGAUAGAGCAUGCCCAUUGCUUUAAACCUUUCAUAAAGUUGAGUUUGACAUUCCCUUGAUGAUGUAAAUACUUUAGGAGCCUUUCUGAAUUUUGGGCGAGGAAAUUUUUCCUGAUUGACAUUAUGGUUUUGGUAUUUCCUUUGAGAAGCUGACCACAUAUGAGUAGCCGCGAUCAUACUUACCUCCUCCACCUUUCCUUUUGACUUAUCCAUAUUAGUAAUUCUGGUAGAUUUUCCAUUAGAUUUCUAUAUGGUAAGUUUGGUGCUCUUUCCAGUCUUGAAACCAUCUUCCAAAGCUUCUCCCACUUUGGCAAUCUUGACAAACUUUUGUCCCAUCAUACACACCAUUCUUUCAUAGUUCUCAGGCUCUUGAGUACGAAUGAACAUUUCAGUGAUCUCACGUUCAGACAUGGGAGGUUGAACUCUUGCAGCCUCUUUUCUCCAGCGAAAAGCGUACUCUCGAUAAUUUUCUGUAGACUUCUGUUUGAUCUUCUCCAAGUAGUAGUGAUCUGGAGCAUCUUCUACGUUAUGUCCAAAUCUCUCCGUGAAAUCCUUUGCGAGUGCAUUCCAACUUUUCCAUUGUUUCAGCUCCUGUGAUGCGAGCCACUCCAGAGCUUCUCCACUUAGACUCCGACCGAAGAGACGCAUCAAUAAUGCUUUGUUUUUGCCAACUCCCACGAGUUGAUCACAAUAAACUUUCAGAUGUGCUAGAGGAUUUCCUGUUCCGUUAAAAGUGACCAACUUUGGCACUUUGAACCCUUCUGGGAGGUCGAGAUUCGGAUGGAUGCAUAAAUCCUUAUAGCUCAAUCCAUCGACUUCGGAAAAAUAGUGCAACUCCUUCAUGGCUUUCCUGACCUCUUCUUUCAUAUUCACCUUGUCUGCUUCUCCUCUUGACCUCCACUCUCUCUCUCUUGUUCCUUAUAGUGAUCAAGCUCGAAAUCGUCGGCAUAAGGUUCAUUUGAAGUUGGGAUUUGGAAUGUAGUCUUUUGAGGUAUAGGUGGAGCAAUGGAAGGAUUCUGGGUAUUUUGAGAGGCUUGAUAAUUUUGGGGGAAAGUUUGAGGAUCGGGAUUGUGGUUUUGUAAAUGGGGGAAGGUUUGAGCAUUGUUCGCAUUUUGGUUUUGAGGGAGAUGGAGGAUUUGAAGGUUGGUAUUUUGAGGAUGGUGUGGUGCUUGACACGAUGUGGCGUGACAAGGAUUGGGGGUAGUUAAGUCAAUGGUUGGAGGAUUUUGAGUGGGGUUAGAGGGAAGAUUUUGAACUUGUUCCGUGCUUGAGGAUGGAAAGUGGAGUGGAGGUCUUCCAUCUCUUUGAGGGUUGAAAGAUGAAACUGGAUUAGACCCAUCUUGCAUUCUUUGCAUUUCGACCCUCAUUUCGGCAAUCUGUUGCAUCAACUGCAUAAUCAAUUAAUUUUGUCAGCGGCGACGGGUUGAGCCACAGCAACAUCGUCCCUGUCAAUCUCAUCAUUGUUAUCCCCCAUUGUUGUCUUUUCUCUUUGCAAAUUUGAUCGGGGAAGGAAUCUUUGGGGCCUUAGACCUCGAAUGUGAACCAACUUACCAACACAGAUCAGUUUUAAAUACCUUUCAAUGGAAAAAACUCAAAAGACCAAUAUAUUAGUGCCUGGAGGUGGUAAAUAAUACAAGAUAUCACAUAUGGGUGAAAACAUAUAAGAGUUUGCUUUAUCCGGAGAUAAACUUGCUCACCAAUAUAAAGAAAUAGUUAAAUAGACAUGAAUUUGUCUACUUGACUUUGGGAUUAGCGAAUAAAAUGUCGACUAGAGUCGAAACAAAAUUGACGGUAUAUUUUAUUACCGUAAUUUGAUUUUGAUUGAGAUGUAACUCUAAUUUCCUUGCAAGAGUUGGAAAAGAUAAAAUUUCUCAAAUUUUUUUUUUAUUUGAAAUACUGAAUCUUUUUCAGAUAUUAGAGUAGUAGUUUUUUUUUUUAGGAAACUAAAGACUUGAAGAAUAUUUGGACGCACUUUGGAUAGUGACUUGAUAUUUGUGCUUAUGGGUCCUAAAAGUAUUUGAAGAAGAGUGAGUUAGAAUAUCUCCGGAUAAAACAACAUAUUUACAUAAGGAGUUAUAACACAAAGACAAAUAUUGCGCGUUCUAAACAGAUAUGUGACCCUUUUCUGCCAAGGGUGGGCCUAGCUAUUUGAGGGAUGUAUACGUCCCUCAAAUUUAAACACACAAGUAUGAACGUCCAUUCAGGCCGUGGACCGUUUUGGACUCAAGGUGGUCUUCUAAUGGGCCCAACGCGCCUUGGGUGUUGGGUCGUCCUAGGCCAACGCGCUAUUUUUUUUGGGAUUUGGGUUUCGCUCUAUCCUAGUUUGACUAAGAGUGGCUUUUGAAAUGACCGGGAACCCAAAUGGACAAUUUGGGCUAAAACUCGCGACAACCAUUGGACGCCUAACAAACCAAUAAAUUGCCACUAAUUUCAAAACAGGGUGAGUAUAAAAAAGUCCGGCUGCGGUUCCGCAAACCGUCCUUUUAUAUACUAUACAUAUAUAUUGGAAAUAUGUUAUGAAUGCAAUGACAAUUUAUGAAAAAUUUAAACCUAUUCAGUACAAAUAAUAUUUUAACAAUUAAAAGAAGUUAGUCAAACAGUCAAAUCUUAUGGUUAGAACUUAAUUAAUCCCCAGCGGAGUCGCCAUUUCUGUUUUAUUUUAAAAAAAUACUACUAACUAUUUUUGAUUUAAAAAUGGAAAAAUUGACUAGGUUUCGAAAAAUCAAUUAAUCUUAUUGUUUAAGAAAAAUCGACUUUUCAAAAUUAUGGAGUCGCCACUUGAUUUUUGAUAAAAUCAAGAAAAAAUUUAAAAUUGUCAAAAGAUUCAAAACAGAUAAAAUCAAUUAAAAAAGGUUCGAAGUUCAAUGUACAUCCCGAGAAGGUGUUAGGCCCUCGGGAUGCCCGCUAACUCGCGGUUGACCGGCGAUUUGACUAAAUGACUAUUAAAAUAAAAAUUUUAACUAAGUAAAAAGAAAUUUGUUUUAAUAUUUUUUAUUUCAUUAUUAUUAAUUUUAUUUAUUUCUAAAGGUUGAGGGAAUUAAUUUAAGGAAAACUAAAUUGUGAUAAAAGUAAGUAAAACAACAAUAGUAAAAUUUAAAUAAUGAAAAUGGCUACCCCUUAGAAGAUUAUUAAAAUUCUACCAAGAUAUUAAAUAAUUCAAACAAAUAAAUAAUAGAGAAAGAAAUAUUUGAACUUGGGCUUGAUUGCCCAAAUUCUUUCAUUUGGGCUUUGGCCCACCUGUCAUAAACUAAUCCUUAUACUUGGGCCUUCUUUAAAACCUGCAGAAACAAAUGACCUUUGGGCCUGUUAAAUAAAAGGGGGGCUGAAGGGCCCUGGCCCAAUUCCCUGAAAAGAGACAUAAAGUAUACAAAUGUAUACAUGUUGUAUACAACAUAUAUCUGACCCAUUUGGACCUCUUGAGCCCUGCACCUUUUGAAUAUAUAUUUACCGUUACUUUUCCCUGAAUUCCCCUGCGUAUUUAUACCUGUAUCAUUUAUUAAAAACUUACUUAACAAGUGUAUAUCGUCUCCCGAUAAUGUAUACUAAUGUAUACGGGAUGCACCCUAUGUCCGCAUUGUUUGCCUAAUUCCGAAUUUUAAUUAGAAUACACGUCCCUCUACGUUCCCCUACCAAUCAUAUUUUUUAAGCAUAUAUAUAGUAUAUCGUCUAAGUAUAUCUGUGUAUACAGGUUGUAUAUCAACCUGUUUUUCAACUUUCGACAGCUGAAAAAUUAUUUCCAGAAGUAUGUCCUCACUGUUAUCAACCUGUAUUUCUAAUUUGGUCCCCUGUACGUUUUUUUGACCUUUAUACUGAUGUAUAAAGUAUGUAUACAGCUGCUAUACAGCUACAUCAACACCUGCCAAUACAUUUUACAGCCCCUUUCCAGGUUUUGAUGAACCUGCAGUUAAUUUCCAGCAACUCGUUUGAUAUAUUUUAGCCUGUACGCCAGUUUUGAGGGGGUCUACAACUCAAGGAUGACAGUUCAAGCCUUUACGGCCCAAUGAGAAAGUGCAACGAGAUGGGUUAAAGUCUAUGAGGACUCGAGGAGAUUUCACAUGCAAUAAAACCAAAAAAAAGAAUUAGCACCUUAAGCGAUAAGCUAAUAGAAUGCGUCUUAAACAAAACGGUAAUAGAAGAUGUGAGCUAUUUUAGAGAUAAUGAGUUAGGAAAGGGGUACAAAAUGUAAACACAUAUCUCAUAUGAAGGCAACACAGGGGACUCCUCAUGCAUGCAGCACUAUUCAAAUAUUCAAAAGAAUAAAAUGAAAGUCAUCAUAUGUCAAGGUUCAUUAGUGAUAAACUUGAGGCUAUGUGAAUCAUUUCAAACCCAAUGACAACAACACGACAGUGAGCAAUAAAUAUAUUGUAGACCAAACACAGAGGAGAAUUGAUCCCUUUCUAUCAUUCAAGGCAUUUAAUGCACAUAAAGGGCAUAUAUGCAGAAGCCAUUGAUAACCAAAAUCACGUCAAAGAAAAGGCCUACCCGUAAGACAAAGUCUAAAAUCCUCCUCCAAAAUGGUCAUAAUUCGAACACAUAAAUGUUUCUAACUCUUUAGGACAACUAAGAAUACGAUAAAGAAAAAGUCACCGACAUAUACUCGAAUAAAACUCGAUUAGAAACCUAGCUAUAACGUACUCAAGACAAGCGAAUACGGAGGUUGUCUGACAAACAAGACGAGAACUCGUCCGAGCUCACACAUUCACAACCAAAUAUGACCGAAGGAUCUAGUGUCUAUAUCAAUCUAAGCAACAAAUUAUACUACCUACAAGUUCAUCCAAGCCUGAAUGAACAACUCGAGCGAGAGGGACAACAUGAACAAGCUUAAGACGAGGUAAGCGAAACAAGAGAAGACUAUACUUCAAACAUACACCUACAUUUCAGUUUCAUAACUGGCAGCAGCAACAGAACUUUAAAACGCCAGCAGAAGCCAUUUCAAAACAAAAAAAAAUGAGAAAGUCGUGUCAAGCGGUAAGGGUUACCUGUUUUAGAGCAGCCAACUGGAACAACAAAUAACGCUGAGGUCUUCCUCCACAACACUCAAACUCAAAAGGCGAUAUAGAGCUCCUUGUAGGUAGAGAUAGGACAGGGACGAACGUCUCUAUGGUUUCAAGAAACUAUCUCAAAAUACUUAUAUACAGUGAUAUGGCUGGAAGCUUGUGGCCAUAUUCCUCUGUAACCUUUUCUCUUUACUCCCUUUUUAUCUAUAUUUUCUUUCUUUCCCUGUUUCUUUUCCUUUUUUUCUAUUUUUCCUCCUUUCUUCUUUCUCUCUCUUUUCUUCUUUCUCUCCACCAACCCCCUAACAAUAAAGAAGAUGGGGAUUGUUUAUAAGCCAAAUUUUGACAAAAAGAGUGGGAAAU